UUGAGGCAACAUGGCCUCAAAAAAUAUUUAAGGUAAACAAAAUAGAAAAUACAAAUGAAAGCAAAGAGAAAAAAUUGUAAAAAAAUUGAUAAUUUUACUCCUCACUCAAGAUCAAGGCACUAAAAGCUGUAAAACUCAGCCCAUUUUUGGCUCACUUUUCGAAUUCGUCUAAUUGCCCAAAAAAGAGUCAAAUGAUUGGUUCUUAAAAAGUUAUGUCAUUUUUUUUCCGUCAAAUCAUCCACCAACAGAUUGCGAUCCCGAUUAGAUUUCUCACUGUUGCCACUCAAUGGCGAUCUCCAACCAAAAGCUCUCAGACACCCGUAAUCUUCAUUCCAGGUUUCGGGACGUGCCUGCCAUCUAGAAUGUUGAAUAUUAAAAAUUUGGUAAUUACGCAUCCAACAAGCAGAUGAUUAAUAAUCUCAACAUCGUUGCCGCACAUCACACACCGUCAAUUUUCGGACCAAUCUUUUUUUAAUAAAUU
rnacentral:lncRNA from 1 species